rnacentral:rRNA from 1 species
CCCUUAGAUGUUCUGGGCCGCACGCGUGCUACACUGAACGGUUCAAUGGGUAAGGUAGUGCGAAAGCAUGACCUAAUCUCGAAAUCCGUUCGUGCUGGGGAUAGAAGCUUGCAAUUAUCCUUCUUGAACGAGGAAUACCUUGUAAGCGUGAGUCAUCAUCUCACGCUGAAUACGUCCCUGCCCUUUGUACACACCGCCCGUCGCUCCUACCGAUUGAGUGUUCCGGUGAGGCUUUGGGAGAAUGGCCUCAACAUGAGUUUAUCGUGUUCUGCCGUUUGAACUUAGUCAAACCUUAUCACUUAGAGGAAGGAGAAGUCGUAACA